CGAGGAUCCAUGGAAAGUCAAAACUUAUUGUAAACCUGCUGCUCUGAAGCAGAUGGAGGCUCCUGGCAAGAUGGUGCUGGCCCUGUUGAAUAGUACAGAGUAGUCAAAACAGAUUGAAGUGUUGGGGAAGAUUGAAGUCAAC